CUCAAAAAUCAAUUUUUUCCACUCAAGCAAACUUUCUCUCUUCCCCUACACUCCCCAAACCGAAAUGCUAAGUCCCCUAAACCCCCAUUGUUGCAUUUCUUCUCUUCUUCACAAGUUCAAGAGUACUCACCUCCAUUGAAGGAAGGAGAUCUUCAAGAGUUCUAGCAUUGGCAAAAACAGAAGUGGUUCUAAGGAGAUUUCAAGGUUUGGAAGCUCUUUGGUGCUUUAGUGAGAAUCAAGUUUAAGGGUAUAGAAUCCAAGAAGGAAGUUUGGACAAGCUAAGGACUAUUAUCUCCAAGCAAGAACCAUCAAAGGUAAGCUCAAAGGAAAAAUGGAUCAGUGAGCGCUGGAGUUUAUCUGCAAGAAUGUACAUGUGGACCAACCUUUUGGGGAAAUUAUGUUUUGGUUACUAGAACCCAUCUGAUAACUAAGAAAUUAUUUUGGGCUUGUUGAAUGUUUAAAAUUAUGAUACUGUAAUUUACUUUUAAGUAUGCACAUACUUCCAAACUCUUGCAUGUUUUGAAAAGUUUUUUUUAUAUGGAUUUUCGAUUUCCUUCUUUUAGAAAAUUGUUAUGUUUUUUUUCUUCAGCAAAUUAUGUUAAGAGAAUUACAGGACGUUAUCGUGGAGGGU